CCUACGGGUGGCUGCAGUGGGGAAUUUUGGGCAAUGGGCGCAAGCCUGACCCAGCAACGCCGCGUGAAGGAAGAAGGCCUUCGGGUUGUAAACUUCUUUUGUCAGGGACGAGUAGAAGAUGGUACCUGACGAAUAAGCCACGGCUAACUACGUGCCAGCAGCCGGGGUAAUACGUUGGUGGCAAGCGUUGUCCGGAUUUACUGGGUGUAAAGGGUGUGUAGCCGGGUUGACAAGUCAGAUGUGAAAUCCUGCGGCUUAACCGCAGAACUGCAUAUGGAACUGUUGAUCUUGAGUACGGGAGAGGCAGACGGAAUUCCAAGUGUAGCAGUGAAAUGCGUAGAUAUGAGGAGGAACACCAGUGGCGAAGGCGGUCUGCUGGACAGCAACUGACGGUGAGGCGCGAAAGCGUGGGGAGCAAACAGGAUUAGAUACCCGUGUAGUC
rnacentral:rRNA from 1 species